rnacentral:sRNA from 1 species
GACCUUGUGAUCGAGUGCGAUCGAGUGGAUGUCAUGAGGGUGUGAUCGAGUGGUUUCUUCGGCUUCUCUUCUCUUCUUUGUUCUCAGCUUGUCUGGUUGAGUGCAGAAUGAGCAGAUAGGCUUCCUGGUGAUAGAGUGGUGAUCGAGUGGUUCUGAUGGGGUGAUUCCUCCGGCUUCGCGAUUGAGUGAAACUGAGCUGCUUGCUUCUCCGGGGUUGCGAUAGAGUGAUUUGCCCUGGCAGGGCUCCGAGGCUGCG